UAGGGAAUAUUAGAAAUGGACGAAAGUCUGAUCUAGCAACACCGCGUGUGCGAAGAAGGCCUUUGGGUCGUAAAGCACUUUUUGGAAGGAAUAGGAAGGAAUGUACUUCCAGAAUAAGUCUCGGCUAACUACGUGCCAGCAGCCGCGGUAACACGUAGGAGGCAAACGUUAUCCGGAUUUACUGGGCGUAAAGCGCGUGUAGGUGGUACUGUAAGUAGGGCAUGAAAGCUCCUGGCUCAACUGGGAGAGGCUGUUCUAAACUACAGAACUAGAGGAUGGUAGAGGGAGGUGGAAUUCCAGGUGUAGCGGUGGAAUGCGCAGAUAUCUGGAGGAACACCGGUGGCGAAGGCGGCCUCCUGGACCAUUCCUGACACUCAGACGCGAAAGCUAGGGUAGCAAACGG
rnacentral:rRNA from 1 species